GGUUGGUUAUAUGGAUCAUUUUUUUGUCAUCCAGCUCAGAAAUAGGGUCAUUCAUCUCAGAAAUAGGUAGCAUACUUGCAUUUAAAAAGAGCCAAGAAAUGGAUAAAAGCGUGCAUUUAAUUGUUUAGUUUAGUUUCACAUGACCAGUUUGCCAUUCCUAUUUUUAAUGUAAUUGUCUUGACUCCCUUUUGAACCCGCUGCAUGGUCAGAAGAAUUCACAACUCAACCUAGAUAGAAGAACACUGAUCGGAGUUAUAAGCUUACAAUUUGGCAAACAGCUUUUAAUGAGCUUGUAUUUAUGCAUGCAGGGUGUAAGCAAAGGGCUUGU
rnacentral:misc_RNA from 1 species